rnacentral:rRNA from 1 species
UCCUACGGGAGGCAGCAGUGGGGAAUUUUGGACAAUGGGGGAAAGCCUGAUCCAGCAAUGCGGCGUGAGUGAAGAAGGCCUUCGGGUGUAAAGCACUUUUGUCCGGAAAGAAAUCAAGGUCUUAAUACAGUAGGGGAAGACGGUACCGGAAGAAUAAGCACGGCUACUUCU